ACUUACAGGUAGGAGAUGGUUAGGAAGCAUGGUGAAGACUAUGAUUGGCGAGGGGCGUCUACCAUCGAUACUGAAGUUGCAUUCUAUUAGAGAAAAGGCCAAUGGACGGUAUUAUAUGUUUAUCGAUGUGAUCGAUUCGAAGGAGUUGCGAUCUCAUGGGCGUUCUUCAAGGUAUUAUAUGUUUUCAGAGCAACCACAACAAUCAUUCAUUUUCCCUCAAUUUCAGCCGCUGAUAUCUCAGGAUUACAUGAUACAACACCUUCUCCAGCUUAGGGAUCGAGAGUUAUGGGCCACAACACGCCACCACCGGUGAUACCAGCACUAGGAGCUUUUGGACGGGAGUGAGCUACUACAUAGGAGAUAGAUGACUUCGUAAACAAUUUCUUCACUUCUGGAGGUAGUGGUCACAACUCAAAUGACCCCUAUAUGUGAUGAAUUGACUUUUGUAGUGAAUUUGGUCGAUGUGAUGGAUUUGUUAUGAACUGUAAUUGAUUAUGAUGUAUUUGUACUAUAUUGUGAUGGAUGUGUGAGUAUUUGUGGUGGAUUCUGAUAUUCGUGGUGGCUUUUGUGGUGUUUGUGAGGAAUUGUGAUAUCUGCGAUGGAUUUGUGAGUA